rnacentral:rRNA from 1 species
CUUUUGAGUAUAAUCUAAGGUCUGGCCUGCCCAAUGAAUUUUAAAUGGCCGCGGUAUUUUGACCGUGCAAAGGUAGCAUAAUCAUUAGUUUUUUAAUUGAAAGCUGGAAUGAAAGGUUGGAUGAGAAAAUAGCUGUCUCUAUUUAAAUUUGUUAGAAUUUUAUUUUUAAGUUAAAAAGCUUAAAUUUUAUUAGAAGACGAGAAGACCCUAUAGAGUUUUAUUUAUUCUUAUAAUUAAGUUUUUAGAAUUUAAUAUUUUUUUUAUAAAAAUAAAUUUGAUUGGGGUGAUUGAAAAAUUUAUUAAACUUUUUUUAAAUUUUUACAUUUAUUUAUGAGUAUUUGAUCCUUUUAUUAAGAUUAAAAGAAAAAAUUACCUUAGGGAUAACAGCGUAAUUUUUUUAAAGAGUUCUAAUCGAAAAAAAAGAUUGCGACCUCGAUGUUGGAUUAAAAUAAAAUUCUGGUGUAGAAGCUAGA